UUUGUAGGCUACACGUGGAGCAUCUCGCUGCAUCCUAUUGGAGACACUAAACCCUUAUCUCCUUCUUCAUCAUUUUCGGGCGUUCAUUUGUGUUGAAUCGAGAGCAACGACAGCGUUCAUAUCGGGCGACAAAUGCUCCCUUUCUUGCCGGAGAUUCAUUUCCUGUGAACCACCAUGUUUGCUAUUGCUGUGUUCAAUCUUGUUUCAUCUUAUCCCAUUACACUAUGCUCAAUCGCUAUAUCUCUCUAUGAUUUCUGUCCCUAAAAUUUUAUUUUUAAUUUUUUUAAAUUUACAGAUCUGAUUCUUUAUGCAUGUUAAUUUUUGAAAUUCCUCUACAAUAUCUUGUUUUCUAAUUCUGGGCAGAUUGAAUUUUUCUUUGUUGUCUUCUUCAACGUCUUACUCAUUUGGUAGAAGGGUACUGUCCGGAAGUGGUAACUCAUACUGUAGCCUAAUUUUUUGUUGAGCCCGGUAAGUGGAUUGACGAAGUACAGCUAUUAGGGUAUCCACAGACCUAUCCAUCGGUGAGAAACUCUUAAACUAUUAUUUCUGUGCUUUCAGAUCUACGUUUUGUGAUUUCUUCUUAAUAAGGAUAAAUGAUUUGUUGUUCGCUUAGUUAAACCCUUUUAAAAGUGAUAAAUAGUAACAAUGCAACUACAUUCCUAAUUUUCUUUGGUUGGUUAGGGUUUAGGGCAGUGAGAUGUUAAUACUAUCUACCCUUUUUUGUCAUAUAAAUCAUUGUUGUUUAAUUCUGAGAAUAUUUUUAGCAUGUGUUUUAUUAAAUCAUAAAAAUAUUCUUUUAGUUUAAUGUUCAUUGAAAUCAGUUAUUCACUCUCCAUUUGUUGUUUAAUAUUCUUUAGUGUGUUGAUAAAUUACUAACAUAGCAUGGUCCUAAUAUACUUUAUCUGGAAAAACAACACGAAACAUAAACUAUGGACAUACCUGUGUCUUUCAAUUGUUUUUUCCUUUUCUUGCCAAUAACAGUAGAAGUCGUUAACUGCUUCAUCAGCUCUGCAGUGUGUUAUCCUCAUCUGAAUUGUAUUGUUUGAUAAAAAAAAUAUAGAAUUGGAGCAUAUGUGUCUUUAUAUUGUCUUACUUAUCAUUUUGCAAUACUCUAUUGGGCAUCUUAACAGUUCAUCAUAAGUAACCUUUACAGCUUCUUAGAUGUUAGGAAAGUUAAUUCUCUUUAUUUAUAUUGCCAUGUGACAUACUCUGCUAUCCCAUACUGAGUACUACAAAUAUCACAAUGAGCAUUAGGUUUACAUAAUUACAUUGUAUUUUUUUUCUUACUCACUGUUAAGUUUUUUUAGAUAUUCAACAAAGAUGUAACACUGACCAAAUUUUAAGAACUAUGCACAUGAUGAUUACACAAUCUGAUGCACAGUGUUCACCAGUGCAUAGGAAACAUUGAUUUGUCCACUCUGCUAUCAUUUUUUGCAACAUUUAAUGUUUGCAGGUAUUAAUUGUAUAAGUGUUGAUUUUGUAUGAGCAGACAUGUUAGUUUCCCAGGUACGUUCAUCCACUUACAUGUUCUAGUAAUUGGUAAUGUUUUUUUAUUAAUCUAUUUUAUUCAGCUUACCAAAAAAACUAUUUACAUUAUACUUGAGAUAAGUCUAUCAAAGAGAUUGCUUCUUGUGUUCCACUUAGUUUUUCUGGCACUUCAUUAUGUGAACAUUUUGCUACAAUUUUCUGCCCCUCCAUAUGAUUAGGUCUUAAUACACAUUAUAUUGCCUAAAUGGUUGGUUUCACCCAGUAAUUGGAUUCCUUGCUGGGUAAAAUUACUUUCCAAUACAGAUAUGAGCCCAUCCAUUUAAUGUGACCAUAACUUGCAGUCAAUUGCUGCGUUAUAGGUUUACACCUAUGUGUGUGUAUUCUGGAUGCCGGAAUCUACUUUGUUCAUGGAAUUUCACAGUAUAAUUUAAAUGGCCAAGUCAAGGAAAGUAAAAAAGACAAUCCACUGAAUUGAAUAAUGAGAUAUUUGUUAUCUUCCAUAAUCAAGAAACGGGCCUUACACAGUUCGGUCAGCUCCAGCAACAUCAGGAUGAAAGCAAUCCUACUUUUGUAGUUGAAGUUUAGACUCCCUUCUUUGAAGAUUCUAAAAGCCUACUCAAUGAUCUCAACACAUCUCUAUUAAUGAAGAUUAAUGAUUAAAAAAAAAAAAAAAAAAAGCUUACCUUUUCUUCGUGGAAGACUACCUCUUUGCUCUUAAUUUCAGAAGAGCCUUUCUGUGGAAGGAACCUCUUUGCUCUUGAAGGUAGAUAAAUUAUUGGCGAGGUAGUGCAUUCCCAUGGUCGAAUGCAAAAAUGCAAAGCAGAAAUUUGGAGAAUGAUUUAAAAUGAUAGUUAACCUGUAAUAUGUAGUGUGUAAUAGAUGUCUUAGAGUGAAAGAGUUCUAUAUGUAUAUUAAAUAGUUUUGAAUUCCCGGUGAGAGUGAAAGAGUUAUAUAAUCUUUUCCUUGAUUCUCGAA